rnacentral:rRNA from 1 species
AACGAACGCUGGCGGCAGGCCUAACACAUGCAAGUCGAGCGAGGACUUCGGUCCUAGCGGCGGACGGGUGAGUAACGCGUGGGAACGUGCCCUUUGCUUCGGAAUAGCCCUGGGAAACUGGGAGUAAUACCGGAUGAGCCCUUUGGGGGAAAGAUUUAUCGGCGAAGGAUCGGCCCGCGUUGGAUUAGGUAGUUGGUGGGGUAAUGGCCUACCAAGCCGACGAUCCAUAGCUGGUUUGAGAGGAUGAUCAGCCACACUGGGACUGGGACACGGCCCAGACUCCUACGGGAGGCAGCAGUGGGGAAUCUUAGACAAUGGGGGAAACCCUGAUCUAGCCAUGCCGCGUGAGCGAUGAAGGCCUUAGGGUUGUAAAGCUCUUUCAGCUGGGAAGAUAAUGACGGUACCAGCAGAAGAAGCCCCGGCUAACUCCGUG